rnacentral:rRNA from 1 species
GCCGUAGGGCGCGAGCGUUGUCCGGAUUUAUUGGGCGUAAAGAGCUCGUAGGCGGCUUGUCGCGUCGUUCGUGAAAACCUGCAGCUCAACUGCAGGCUUGCGGUCGAUACGGGCAGGCUGGAGUUCGGUAGGGGAGACUGGAAUUCCUGGUGUAGCGGUGAAAUGCGCAGAUAUCAGGAGGAACACCGGUGGCGAAGGCGGGUCUCUGGGCCGAUAUUGACGCUGAGGAGCGAAAGCGUGGGGAGCGAACAGG